GACGAACGCUGGCGGCGUGCUUAACACAUGCAAGUCGAACGGAAAGGCCCUGCUUUUGUGGGGUGCUCGAGUGGCGAACGGGUGAGUAACACGUGAGUAACCUGCCCUUGACUUUGGGAUAACUUCAGGAAACUGGGGCUAAUACCGGAUAGGAGAUCCUGCUGCAUGGGGGGGGUUGGAAAGUUUCGGCGGUUGGGGCUGGACUCGCGGCUUAUCAGCUUGUUGGUGGGGUAGGGGCUUACCAAGGCUUUGACGGGUAGCCGGCCUGAGAGGGGGACCGGCCACAUUGGGCCUGAGAUACGGCCCAGACUCCUACGGGAGGCAGCAGUGGAGAAUAUUACACAGUGGGCGGAAGCCUGAUGCAGCAACGCCGCGUGCGGGAUGACGUCCUUCGGGUUGUAAACCGCUUUCGCCUGUGACGAAGCGUGAGUGACGGUAAUGGGUAAAGAAGCACCGGCUAACUACGUG
rnacentral:rRNA from 1 species